GGAAUUGCUAGUAAUGGCAGGUCAGCAUACUGCCGUGAAUACGUUCCCGGGCCUUGCACACACCGCCCGUCACACCAUGAGAGUUGGGGAUACCCAAAGCCCGUGAGCCAACUAUAAAGAGGCAGCGGUCUAAGGUAGAAUCAAUGAUUGGGGUGAAGUCGUAACAAGGUAUC
rnacentral:rRNA from 1 species